rnacentral:sRNA from 1 species
CAGAAAACUGCCGAAGACAGUAGGUGCCGUAAGGCAUAAGGAUGAAAACGCCUACCGAGGAAAGUACAUUUUUCUAUAGAGAGAUUUGUAUGCCCUGUUGUCUGUGCAGCAGGGCUUUCUUUAUG